CAACAAGGUAGUUUAAACUUAGGACGCAAAUUUUGGGAAUUUGAGGUCCCUCCCCCCGGGCCUGUUGA